GUUAAUGUAGCUUAUUCAAAGCAAAGCACUGAAAAUGCUUAGAUGGAUGCAAGCAUCCCAUAAACA
ensembl:Mt_tRNA